AAGCCGUACGCUGAGAUAUUU
rnacentral:sRNA from 1 species